AAAUGUUUGAUUUCACAACCUAUAGCGUCGGCUAUAUAUUAGCCUAUAAAACAUGUAAUUUAAAAGACAUUAAUGGUCAUUAUAGCACAGUUCAAACAACAACAAUUAUAAACGAUUUUGCAGGAAUUGUAAUCAGGCGCUAAAAAUAAUACCCAUUAAUUGUUCGUUGAGCCAAUGGGAUCACUCUGGGUCCUGAGAAAUGACACCGGGACCGCGAUGCACGCUGGGAUUUGGAGUUUUCGGCUGAUUGUAUGCAAAACUCGCAUGCGGAAAGGUUUGAGCAUACACGUCUCGGAGAAUAUCAAUUAAAUAAUAAUUAUAUUACAAGUUAUGGUCCGAUGAGCACCGGCGCCAUGGAGAGUACAGGACACGUCUGGCCAUGUAGCAACUCCGGCUAGUGGAUUAGCACGCACGCGACCAAACACACAGACGGAUGAGAGAGAGGCUGGAGAGAUACAGGGAUACAGAUGAUGCUGAGGUCAGAUGCUCUCAAUCAGUAUACCUAUACAGAAUGCACAUAAAUGAAA